CAGUCGCCACGGGAAUACGUAGGGUGCGAGCGUUAAUCGGAAUUACUGGGCGUAAAGCUUGCGCAGGCGGUUGUGUAAGACAGGUGUGAAAUCCCCGGGCUUAACCUGGGAACUGCGCUUGUGACUGCACAGCUAGAGUAUGGCAGAGGGGGGUGGAAUUCCACGUGUAGCAGUGAAAUGCGUAGAGAUGUGGAGGAACACCGAUGGCGAAGGCAGCCCCCUGGGCCAAUACUGACGCCCAUGCACGAAAGCGUGGGGAGCAAACAGGAUUAGAUACCCCGGUAGUCCCUGUCUCUUAUAC
rnacentral:rRNA from 1 species